AGCGAACGUUAGCGGCGCGCUUAACACAUGCAAGUCGAACGAGAAAGGCACUUCGGUGCUGAGUAAAGUGGCGGACGGGUGCGUAACACGUAGGUAACCUAUCCUUCGGCGGGGGAUAACGUUUCGAAAGGAACGCUAAUACCGCAUACGACCAUGCUGUCUCCGGACAGCGUGGGCAAAGAUGGGGCUCUUCGGACCUAUCACCGAAGGAGGGGCCUGCGGCUCAUCAGCUUGUUGGUAAGGUAACGGCUUACCAAGGCGAAGACGGGUAGCUGGUCUGAGAGGAUGAUCAGCCACACUGGUACUGAAACACGGACCAG
rnacentral:rRNA from 1 species